UACGUAGGUGGCAAGCGUUGUCCGGAUUUACUGGGCGUAAAGCGUGUGUAGGCGGACCUUUAAGUAGAAAGUGAAAGGUUGGAGCUCAACUCCAACACUGCUCUCUAUACUGGAGGUCUUGAGUGCCGGAGAGGAAGAUGGAACUGCACGUGUAGCGGUGAAAUUCGUAGAUAUGGGGAGGAACACCGGUGGCGAAGGCGGCCAUCUGGACGGAUACUGACGCUGAGACGCGAAAGCGUGGGUAGCAAACAGG
rnacentral:rRNA from 1 species